GGACAUUGGACAAUGGACUUAGAGACUCAUUAGGAUCCUUUGCAAAAAGACCUUGGACAAGUGUGACCUAACAUGGAAGAAGCGCGCAAGUAUCAAGAAGAAUUUGUAAUAUCAAUUGUAAUCUUUUUGCAUGCUCUCCAAUUUAGAACACAAUUGCACACAUAUGACUUUCUCUUGGGCUACCUGACAAUGAGACCUUUUAUUUCCGCACUCCAUUGUACUUUACAUGUACCCCCUCCCCUUUCCGAUGUACGCAUUUACUUGCUUUCUUUUAUUGCUUCAUAGCUACUCCUUAGGCAUUAGGAACACACAUCAUUCAAAAUCAAUAAUCAAACCCUUGAUCCAACGUCAAGCGGUCUCCUUUUCAAAUCAAUUUCAAUAAACAAAACCUUGAUCCAACGUCAAGCGGUCUUUUUCCAAAUCAAAUUCAAAAACACCAUAAAUGGCGAUUAGGAUCGUACGUCACGAGCCUUAAACGAUAAAGAAGGGAUGAGACUGGAGCUUUCCUACACUCAUUCUGAAUGCUUCGAACACAAGACGUUUGGCUUGACCGAUUGAGGUAUUCACCUUUAUCCAUAGUCUUUAGUGCAAUCUGAAAUCAAUAACACUUUUCUAAAAACUUAAAAACAACUCAACACAUUCAAACCUUUUGUUUGAGCCUUAGGGCGACACCAAUCGAAAACCCUUCUUCAAGGUAAUAAAAU
rnacentral:lncRNA from 1 species